rnacentral:rRNA from 1 species
UACGGGGGGAGCAAGCGUUGUUCGGACUUACUGGGCGUAAAGGGCGCGUAGGCGGCGCAACAAGUCACUUGUGAAAUCUCCGGGCUUAACCCGGAGCGGCCAAGUGAUACUGUCGUGCUAGAGUGCGGAAGGGGCUACUGGAAUUCUCGGUGUAGCGGUGAAAUUCGUAGAUAUCGAGAAGAACACCGGUGGCGAAGGCGGCCCGCUGGACGAUGACUGACGCUGAGACGCGAAAGCGUGGGGAGCAAACAGG